rnacentral:tRNA from 1 species
UAGCUCAAGGGGUAGAGCGCAUGCUUAGCGCGCACGAGGUCCUGGGUUCAAUCCCCAG